AACGAACGCUGGCGGCAGGCUUAACACAUGCAAGUCGAGCGCCCCGCAAGGGGAGCGGCAGACGGGUGAGUAACGCGUGGGAAUCUACCCAUCUCUACGGAAUAACGCAUGGAAACGUGUGCUAAUACCGUAUACGUCCUUCGGGAGAAAGAUUUAUCGGAGAUGGAUGAGCCCGCGUUGGAUUAGCUAGGUGGUGGGGUAAAGGCCUACCAAGGCGACGAUCCAUAGCUGGUCUGAGAGAAUGAUCAGCCAUACUGGGACUGAGACACGGCCCAGACUCCUACGGGAGGCAGCAGUGGGGAAUAUUGGACAAUGGGCGCAAGCCUGAUCCAGCCAUGCCGCGUGAGCGAUGAAGGCCCUAGGGUUGUAAAGCUCUUUCACCGGUGAAGAUAAUGACGGUAACCGGAGAAGAAGCCCCGGCUAACUUCGUGCCAGCCGCCGCCGUAACAC
rnacentral:rRNA from 1 species